rnacentral:lncRNA from 1 species
UGCUUCCAGCUUGCAGUUGAACAAGCCCGAUGCCAGAUCUCGAGGCCUCCUGUAUUGGAGAUUCCCAGAAAAAGCCCUGCCUUCCUGUCAUCUUUCUCAAUUUAUGCUCUUCAUGAUGUUCCUUUCCAGGUCCUCUCUGAUUGGAGGACUCAGAUCUCAAUCAGGACAAGAGAUGGGUCUUCCAGACACCAAGACACCCAGGUGGCAAUCCAGAAUGGCUACAAGACCCCACAUGGACUGUGCCUAGCUGAAAGAAGAGGGCGAGAGACAAUGGAAAAGAAAAAGAAAAUGAAAAGGAGAAAGGAGAGGAAGAAAAUACGAAUCCCAGUCACCUGACAGCAGAGCUUUAAACAACAUAUAGUAAGAUUCUGGUUUUUAUUCCACUCUAUCUGCUUCUGUUUUAUGGGUGAGUUCAUCCUAUUUACAUUCACAGUUAUGAUUAUCAUCUGUUUAUUUCCCUCCCUCUUGAUUUCCUCUUUUAGUCCUGUCUUUUCUUCUUUGACUCUUAC